rnacentral:misc_RNA from 1 species
AACGCAAAUUGCGCCCAAGGCUUCGGCCGAGGGCAUGUCUGCCUCAGCGUCGGCUUACCCCCUCGCACUCCCCCACCUUGUGUGUGUGCUGGAGCGCGGAUCUGGCCCUCUCGGCUCUCCUUUCCAAGGAAAGGAUCCGGGUUGGCUGAAGCCCAGAGGCUUGAGCAUGGACCCCGCUUGUAGGGCAAUGGCUUGGUAGGUAGGCACCCCAUACGCACACCUGCCGUCGCCUGAGGGGACUCUGCUGGAGGCCAAGCAGGAAUCGAAGCCCUAGCUUCGAUCUCUCACUUUCGACCUGAGCUCAGGCAAGACUACCCGCUGAACUUAA